rnacentral:lncRNA from 1 species
CCAUGGGGUAGGUAACUUGAUCACCUGGUAGAAGAUCGAGAGGACUGCACACAUGGCGUGUAUCCAAGGGAGCCCUAUGAUGGUAUUUUUAACCGUUUCCUGGUUUAUGAGGUGGAACGUGGUUUCUAGCAUAACUCCCCUCUGCUAAAAUUGGAAACAAUCUCUCUAGAGGUCCGUUCCACUGCAUUGCUAAAAUCCGUUAGUGUUAUGCAAUGUAGUAUUAUCUUAUCUUCGAGUCUCAUUUGCAUGAGGACUCUUGGAUG